rnacentral:rRNA from 1 species
GACGAACGCUGGCGGCGUGCUUAACACAUGCAAGUCGAACGGAAAGGCCCUGCUUUUGUGGGGUGCUCGAGUGGCGAACGGGAGAGUAACACGUGAGUAACCUGCCCUUGACUUUGGGAUAACUUCAGGAAACUGGGGCUAAUACCGGAUAGGAGCUCCUGCUGCAUGGUGGGGGUUGGAAAGUUUCGGCGGUUGGGGAUGGACUCGCGGCUUAUCAGCUUGUUGGUGGGGUAGUGGCUUACCAAGGCUUUGACGGGUAGCCGGCCUGAGAGGGUGACCGGCCACAUUGGGACUGAGGUACGGCCCAGACUCCUACGGGAGGCAGCAGUGGGGAAUAUUGCACAAUGGGCGGAAGCCUGAUGCAGCAACGCCGCGUGCGGGAUGACGGCCUUCGGGUUGUAAACCGCUUUCGCCUGUGACGAAGCGUGAGUGACGGUAAUGGGUAAAGAAGCACCGGCUAACUACGUG